UCCUGGCUCAGAGCGAACGCUGGCGGCAGGCCUAACACAUGCAAGUCGAGCGCCGUAGCAAUACGGAGCGGCAGACGGGAGAGUAACACGUGGGAACGUACCCUUCAGUUCGGAACAACCCAGGGAAACUUGGGCUAAUACCGGAUACGUCCGUAAGGAGAAAGAUUUAUCGCUGAAGGAUCGGCCCGCGUCUGAUUAGCUUGUUGGUGAGGUAACGGCUCACCAAGGCUACGAUCAGUAGCUGGUCUGAGAGGAUGAUCAGCCUCACUGGGACUGAGACACGGCCCAGACUCCUACGGGAGGCAGCAGUGGGGAAUAUUGGACAAUGGGCGCAAGCCUGAUCCAGCCAUGCCGCGUGGGUGAUGAAGGCCCUAGGGUUGUAAAGCCCUUUCGGCGGGGAAGAUAAUGACGGUACCCGCAGAAGAAGCCCCGGCUAACUUCGUGCCAGCAGCCGCGGUAAUACAAAGGGGGCUAGCGUUGCUCGGAAUCACAGGGCGUAAAGCGCACGUAGGCGGCUUUUUAAGUCAGGGGUGAAAUCCUGGAGCUCAACUCCAGAACUGCCUUUGAUACUGAGAAGCUUGAGUCCGGGAGAGGUGAGUGGAACUGCGAGUGUAGAGGUGAAAUUCGUAGAUAUUCGCAAGAACACCAGUGGCGAAGGCGGCUCACUGGCCCGGUACUGAC
rnacentral:rRNA from 1 species